CAAUAAGAAGAAACAACACACUCAGUUGGAGAUGCGACCCGUCAAAUAGACAGUUGUUGACGCGUCUCCUCCUCCCUUCUACUCUGAGCGAGAGCAAGGACUGUUUGACUUCUCCACGUUGGGUGUUCAGGAGCCGUCCCAGAUACUGAUAUCAAACCUGAUACCGAGGGAGUUCCGUUUCACAUCGGUGUCUCCUGAGUGAUCGAACGGGGAAUCUACGACAUAUCCAACGCUGUCAUCCGGAGAAGCCGCCACGCCUGUUUGACAUCCACGCUUCAUACAUCCUGUUUUGAUUCACUUCAGUUACAUCUCCAAAGUAUGCGGGACUUUUGGGGUUGAGCUGUUUUUACUUUUGUGACGCAGCACAUAAAGCAACACGCCUUCAUCGCUAUCCAUCACACACAC
ensembl:lncRNA